rnacentral:rRNA from 1 species
AUUGAACGCUGGCGGCAGGCCUAACACAUGCAAGUCGAGCGGAGCGGCGGACGGGUGAGUAAUGCCUGGGAAUCUGCCUGGUCGUGGGGGAUAACGUUCAGCAACGGGCGCUAAUACCGCAUACUAUCAGAUGAGCCUAGGUCGGAUUAGCUAGUUGGUGGGGUAAAGGCCUACCAAGGCGACGAUCCGUAACUGGUCUGAGAGGAUGAUCAGUCACACUGGAACUGAGAUACGGUCCAGACUCCUACGGGAGGCAGCAGUGGGGAAUAUUGGACAAUGGGCGAAAGCCUGAUACAGCCAUGCCGCGUGUAUGAAGAAGGUCUUCGGAUUGUAAAGCACUUUAAGUUGGGAGGCGUUACCAGCAGAAUAAGCACCGGCUAACUUCGUGCCAGCAGCCGCGGUAAUUC